ACAUAUGAGACAUCGCUGCUGGUAGAAGAGGCCAUUAGUGAGGAGCUUCCCUAUAGUGUAUCUGGACCAGAUCCGCCAGACAAUCUUUGAAAACCUGAAGAUGCUGAACCAUGCACCUAGUGUCCAGAUUCAUGACGUGCCUGCAGACCUCCUGACCUAUGACAGGACUGAUGAGGCUGAUGCAGAGGAGAGGGGUCCUGAGGAGAACUAUAGCAGGCCAGAGGCACCCAAUGAGUUCUAUGAUGGAGACCAUGACAAUGACAAGGAAAGCGAUGUGGAGAUUUAAGAGUGGCUUGGGAUGCUGUGUCCCAAGGAAUUUCUUUUCACCUCUUGGUUGGGCUGGAGGGAAAAGGAGUGGCUCCUAGAGUCCUGGGGGUCACCCCAGGGCUUUUGCUGACUCUGGGAAAGAGUCUGGAGACCACAUUUGGUUCUCGAACCAUCUACCUGCUUUUCCUCUCUCUCCCAAGGCCUGACAAUGGUACCUAUUAGGGAUGAGAUACGGACAAGGAUAGCUAUCUGGGACAUUAUUGGCAGUGGGCCCUGGAGGCCAGUCCCUAGCCCCCCUUGCCCCUUAUUUCUUCCCUGCUUCCCUCGAACCCAGAGAUUUUUGAGGGAUGAACGGGUAGACAAGGACUGAGAUUGCCUCUGACUUCCUCCUCCCCUGGGUUCUGACUUCUUCCUCCCCUUGCUUCCAGGGAAGAUGAAGAGAGAGAGAUUUGGAAGGGGCUCUGGCUCCCUAACACCUGAAUCCCAGAUGAUGGGAAGUAUGUUUUCAAGUGUGGGGAGGAUAUGAAAAUGUUCUGUUCUCACUUUUGGCUUUAUGUCCAUU
rnacentral:sRNA from 1 species